ACGUCUAAAUAAGAACUUAUCGAAUGUGUAUUUUAAAAUAUAUAAUUUUGAUUUGAAUUAAGUAAAAUAUUAAAAAUUAAUUUAUAUUAAUUCUUUAAUUUAUAACUUUGAUCUAUAAAUAUAUAUAAAUAUUGAAUAGUGUUCGUAUAUUUUUUUCUUGAAAAAGGAAGGUUAUAUAAAAUUAAAGGUUAUAAUAACAGAUUAUAUUUUAAAAACUUAUUCGUAUAUAUAUAUAUACUUUGAUUGGAAAAUAUAUAUUUUGAUUGGAAAAUAGAAUUAAUUGUUGUCCAUAUUCUAAAGUGAGUUACAUCAGGAGAUAUAAUUAUAAUAUAUAUAAAUCAAUUUUUAAAAUUAAAACCAAUUUAUGUUAAAAUAUUUUAUCCUCAAUUUACUUUAAUAAUAAAAAUGGCUAAAGCGAAAAAGAAAUUAUUAUCAGAAAUUUCCCAACAAAAACGCGAUCGGCGAAACGAAAAAUCUUUAAAUCCAUUUGAAGUGCAUAUAAAUAAGAUUAAACAAAAUGUAUUGGGUAAAAAAGAUAAAACAGAUAAAGGGCUUCCGGGUGUAUCACGUGCAAAAGCAAUUAAAAAACGGAAAGAAACACUUCUUCAAGAAUAUAAAUUAAAAAAUAAAAAUAAUUUGUUUUUAGACAAACGUAUAGGUGAAAAGAAUUUAUUUAUGAAUGAAGAAGAAAAAGCCUUGGCUAGAUUUACAGCGGAACAUAUGAAAGCUCAUAAAAAACAGAGUAUUUAUAAUUUAAAUGAUGAAGAAAUAUUAACCCAUAAAGGUCAAACUUUAGAAGAAAUUGAAAAAUUUGAUGAUCCAAGAAGUGAUGAUGAAUAUAGCGAUGAUGAAAAUGGAACUGGUAAAUUAAAUAAUAAGUUUGUUGGUGAAGCUCACUUUGGUGGUGGAAUUUUAUCAAAAUCAGAAUCUGGAAAAUCUAGGAAAGACAUUAUAGAUGAACUUAUAGCGGAAUCAAAAAAACGUAAAGCUGAGAAACAAAAGAUUCGUGAACAAACCAUAGAUUUAACGGAAAAACUUGACUCUGAAUGGAGAGAUCUUCUUCCGAUAAUGUCGGCGACUAAUAAAGAUAUUGAGGAAGAAGCUAUAAAGACGAAGAUUGAUGAUUAUGAUAUUGCUGUGCGUGAAUUGAAGUUUGAGGCUAAAGGUAUGCCAUCGGAUAAAUUAAAAUCUGAAGAAGAUAUGAUAAAAGAAGAAAAAGAAAAAUUAGAAGCUUUAGAAGCGGAUCGAUUGGCAAGAAUGAAAGGACUUAUAAAUAAUACAAAUAAUGAAAUUAAGCACAAAUCUGCGGAUGAUCUUGAUGAUGGUUUUAUGUUAGAAAGUAUAAAUGAUGAAGCUUCAGAUAAUGAAAAAAAUUCAAUUAAAAGUACACAACAAUUUCUAAAUAAUGAAGAUACUAGUGAUACUGAAAAUGAUAAUAAUAAUGAUGAUAAUGAUAAUUUUAAUGAAGACAAUUUAAUUAUUAAUAAUGAUGAAAAAAAUAUAUAUACCGAUACAAAUGAAGAAUUGAAUAUUAUUAAAAUGAGUGGCGAUAUAAAGGAAAGAAAAAGAAUAAAAAAUUUUUCUGAAAACAAAUUAAAUAAAAAUUUUAAUGAAGAAGUUUCAGAAAAUUCUGAAGAAGAUAAUUUGUCGGAUUUGAAAGAAUCGGAAUACUCCAGUGAAGAUGAAAAAAAUGAUAAAAAUGAUAAAAAGUCAAAGACUAAUUUAAAUGUUCUUGAAUUAAAUAGCAACAUCAAAGUACAAGAAAUUAGAGGUGAUCUUUUAAAAAGAAAAGAAAUUAUGGAAAAUGCAAGGAAAGAAUUACCUUAUGUUUAUAAAUCACCAGAAAAUUUUGAAGAAUUACAAGAAUUUUUACAAAAUCGUAAUGCCGAUUAUCAGUCAAUUAUCAUAGAUCGUAUAAUAAAAUGCAAUCAUUGGUCGUUGAAUAAUAUAAAUAAAGAAAAAUUAUCAAAUUUAUUUUUGUUUAUACUACAGCAUUUAAAUAAUCAUGCUAUGGAAGAUGAUGUUGAAAGUGUGGUCAAAUGUUGUCAAAUUGUUGACAGAUUGUCUCCCUUCUUGUAUGAUCUUGCGCAUUUAAAUCCAGAAAAUACUAAAUUUGUUGUACAAGCGAUAAUUAAGGAAAAGCAUAAGGAAUUUGAAAAAAAUAAAAAAAAAUAUCCUUAUCUAGACACUCUUAUUUUCUUUAAAUUGGUUUCCUUAAUAUUUCCAACAUCUGAUUUUAGACAUCCUAUUACUACUCCCUGUUUAAUAUUUAUGUCUCAAAUAUUAUUUAGAUGUCAAGUUAAAAAUAAAGUAGAUAUUUCAAAAGGUCUUUUAAUAUGUACUCUUAUAUUAGAGUAUACUGUAUUGAGCGAACGAUUUGCGCCAUCUGUGAUAAAUUUUCUACGUGGUAUAAUUUAUAUAUCUACGCCUAAACAUUUAAUUCAAGAAAUAAAAAUGAUACCACCUUUUAAAAAAACAGGAGAAUUAAGUAAUUUAUUAAUACUUGAUGAAGAUCAAACUAAUUUAAAUAUUGAUUCAAUUAAUAUGCUUAUGAAAGCAUCUGAUUUGGUAGAUGGACCAUUGGAUGAUAAUUUUAAAAUAAGAGCUUUAUUGACGACUAUAAAUCUAUUAUGUGAAUUUAAAAAUCAUUUUGAAAAAUUUGAAACUGUGUAUUCAAUAUUUGAACCAAUUUUAAAAUUACUCGAAGCAAAUUCUUUUAAUAAGUAUCCAUUUAAAGUCAAAAAACGUGUUGAACGAUUACGAAAAGAGUUAAAAGAAUUGAAGAAUAAAAAAUUAGAAUAUCUUGUUGUUGAAAAAAAGAAACCAAAACCAUUAAGAUUGUACGAACCGCGAAUCGAAACGAUAUAUGAUAGUAAAAAACAUAAGAGUAUAUCUAAAGAGAAAGCCGAAAAAGAAAAAUUAUUGCACAAAUAUAAAAAAGAAAUGAAAGGUGCUAUCCGUGAAAUACGAAGGGAUCGAAUGUUCUUAGCAAAAUUGCAAAUAAAGCAACAGAUUAAAAAUGAUGAAGAACGUAAACGUAAAGUAAAAGAAAUCUUUGGCGAAGCUGCGAUGCAACAAAGUGAAUUAAAAAAAUUGAAACGAAAAAAAUAAUAUUGUACUUUAGGAUGUGUAUUAAUUUUUUUUGUUAUAUUUUUAUUUAAAUGAUUUCACGGAAUGUAAAGUUAAAUAUUGUUCACAAUGACGUUUCGUUCAAUAUAUUUUUCAUAGUGAUAUUGCGCAAUGUGCAUUGUAUCGUUAGAAAUAUAAAUUAUCGCGCGACAGGAUAUGGCAACAGAAUCGCAAUUGUGUUAUAAAAUUUUGCAUGGAUAAAAUACUAUUGCUUUAAAAUGAUUAAAAGAAAUAAUCAAUUUUUUCUGGAAAGUUAUCGAAUAAAUCGCAAACAUUUGAAAUUAUAUCUUUUUUCAUCAUAUAUUCUGGUAUAACUAAACGAGUUUUAAAAUUAUUAAAUGUAUUGUUACGUAAAAUUUGAGUAUGUAUAAAUUGGGAUUCAUUAUUAUUUGUAAUUGUAUAAACGGGUUCUAAUUUUUUUUUUAAAUAAAUUACAGAGUACCAUUUAUCAAAAUAUAUUUUUAAAAUUUCAAAAUUUUCAAAUGAUCUCAUCAUUGCAUUUUCUAAUUGCAAAUCACGUUGAUAAUUAAUAUUACAAAGCGAAAUUUUCAACAAUUUUUUAAGUCCUUCUCGUAAUACAAAUUUUUUAUACAAUAUUAAUGCUGUUUCUAUUUCAUUAUUCAUUUUUAUCUUUUGAACGAUAUAUUCUCUCCAAAUUAAAAAAUAUUUUUUCAAAAUCUUAUAUUCCAUCGUGGAGAUCACAAGAAUUUCUUUUUUACGUAUAUUUAAAAUAUCUUGUAAUUUGGAAUGCCAAUGUAAAAUAAAUUUUUUUAAUAAAAAACCAGUUGCAAUUUCA